GGGCGCAUAGCUCAGUUGGUCAGAGCGCUACGUUCACAUCGUAGAGGUCGCAGGUUCGAGUCCUGCUGCGCCCACCA
rnacentral:tRNA from 1 species